rnacentral:rRNA from 1 species
AUUGAACGCUGGCGGCAGGCCUAACACAUGCAAGUCGAGCGAGCGGCGGACGGGUGAGUAAUGUAUGGGGACUGCCCGAUAGAGGGGGAUAACUCCUGGAAACGGUAGCUAAUACCGCAUACUAUCGGAUAACCCAUAUGGGAUUAGCUAGGAGGUGAGGUAAUGGCUCACCUCGGCGACGAGCCCUAGCUGUUCUGAGAGGAUGAUCAGCCACAAUGGGACUGAGACACGGCCCAGACUACUACGGAGGCAGCAGUGGGGAAUAUUGCACAAGGGGCGCAAGCCUGAUGCAGCCAUGCCGCGUGUAUGAAGAAGGCCCUAGGGUUGUAAAGUACUUUCAGUCGGGAGGCGUUACCGACAGAAGAAGCACCGGCUAACUCCGUGCCAGCAGCCGCGGUAAUUC